UGUGGAUGUGGAUGGGAUCGGUGGAAAGAAACGACCGGACCGGGAGAGAUGAGGUGCGGUGCGGUGCGGUGCGUGGGACCCAGUGGACGCGUGUGUAGAGCUCCCGCAAGUUGGCUAGACGCGUUUACGCUGGAUUAGAUCAAUUCCCCAUGUGUAAAACACUCCUUCCAGAGACUUGCAGCGCCCCCUUGCCAGAUCCCCACCGCGCGUGAGCGCCUCGUCCACAAAGCAGGCAGCCUCCCACGCGCCCCUCUCCCGCAACUUGAACCAGACACCCCCGCCGGCGAUCUGCAGCAGCAACAGGAUACCGCCGCCGCCGGAAGCAGCAGAGCCUCCCCCAUCCUACCACCGGCCUCCUCUCUCUCCUUCACCCUCUCUUGCGACGCCCACAUGGGAGCUCAGCGUUAGAAGGGAGAGAGAGGGAUUGUUGCGGAAUAUGAUGGAUGUAUUAUUGAACCUCGAGGACGAAUAUAUAUCGAGUAUAAGGCUUGGAGGACAAGACGCCUCUUCUAGAGAUAGGGUAGGAGAUGAAUUACAAAUCCUAGACUAUCAAACAUAUGUAACCCAAAUAUAUUUCUAACAUCCCCCCGUAGUCGUAGUGGUUGCGUUGCGAACAACAGGAGCGACGUGGACGGUCAGACUGGAGAGAAUAGCAGCCGACGGACUGACAUCCCCCGCAGUCCUAGCGGGAGCGUCGUGAACGGUGUCGCGUCGCGGACGCGUUGACUAUAGAGGAAGACGACGAGUUGCUCAAGUGGAUGAUAA